GCCGGUGUGGCGGAAUGGCAGACGCGGCGGACUCAAAAUCCGCUCCUUGCAAGAGGGUGGGGGUUCGAGUCCCUUCACCGGCACUA
rnacentral:tRNA from 1 species